rnacentral:rRNA from 1 species
UACGGAGGGGGCUAGCGUUGUUCGGAAUUACUGGGCGUAAAGCGUGCGCAGGCGGCUUUGCAAGACAGAUGUGAAAUCCCCGGGCUCAACCUGGGAAUUGCGAUGGAGACUGCAAGGCUAGAAUCUGGCAGAGGGGGGUAGAAUUCCACGUGUAGCAGUGAAAUGCGUAGAGAUGUGGAGGAACACCGAUGGCGAAGGCAGCCCCCUGGGUCAAGAUUGACGCUCAUGCACGAAAGCGUGGGGAGCAAAC